rnacentral:lncRNA from 1 species
AGGGAAUGAAGGUGUGGUGGUUGCGACAGUGAAGUGCUACUGAGAUACUGUGGGUGCGGUGGUUGGAUGAGUGGUGUGGUUGUGGUGAUGUGGCAUGAUGGUUUCUUCUUGCCUAUUCUGUGAAGGAACGUUUGGGUGUGGUGGUGGUUGCAAAUGGUGGACGAGGUGAUGGCAGUGAUUGUGGAGGCGACGGUGAUGACAAAAAAUGAUGGCGUUUUGCAUCUGAUUUGUUGGUGGAAAGCUAGUGGUGGUGACGACGC